rnacentral:lncRNA from 1 species
AUCACAAAAUUUCACAUAUACUUAGAAAACCUAUUUAACCAAGUAUUGACAAAAUUUGAACUGUAGAUGUGACACCAAUUUUAUGAAUUAGUCAAGGAUCCUAGCUCUAAUUUAAUUGUAUAAAUCUCAAAUUGCCAAUACAAACCUUAAUUUUCAACAACAAUUGCUAAGUCCCAAAAUCUCCUACCAAAAUCAAUCUUAUGUCUCUAAAAAAAGCUUCAAUCUAGCUCUCAAAUUCUAAUCUCUAAUCUUUGAAUGAAAACCUAUUUUACCCUAGGCAGUCAUUUUAGUGGCUAGAGGUCUGAUUUUGACCCAGUCUCACAAACAGUUGACCCUCAGGUAUCAAUCUAACCUAUCUUAAGGAUUUUUUAGUCCAAUCCAAUCCUUAUUUUACUCUUAGUAUCAACUAUACUAAUUAUUUAUCUCUUUUAACUUGAUUUU